rnacentral:rRNA from 1 species
CUGCAUGGCUGUCGUCAGCUCGUGUCGUGAGAUGUUGGGUUAAGUCCCGCAACGAGCGCAACCCUCGCCUUUAGUUGCCAGCAUGAUUGGGUGGGCACUCUAAAGGAACUGCCGGUGACAAGCCGGAGGAAGGUGGGGAUGACGUCAAGUCCUCAUGGCCCUUAUGCCCUGGGCUACACACGUGCUACAAUGGCGGUGACAGUGGGAAGCCAGGCAGCGAUGCCGAGCUGAUCUCAAAAAGCCGUCUCAGUUCGGAUUGCACUCUGCAACUCGAGUGCAUGAAGGUGGAACCGCUAGUAAUCGCGGAUCAGCAUGCCGCGGUGAAUACGUU